GUUUCAGAGAUAGAGAUGGCAGAAGAUUCAUUUCAGAGAGAGAUUGGAUUUAAGUGAGAAUGAGAUGGAUUUCCCUAAUAGUCUGGCAAUAUGCUCGUUUCUGUCUCUGCCUUUACUGCCUUCUGACUGCCUCUGAAGCAUCUCAGAUGGUCAAAGACCAGCCUUACAGAAUGUGAAAGGACCAGCUUCUGUGAAAUCCGCAAGAGCAGACAUCAUGAUAAAGUCACCAUCUGCCAUUCUAUCUGUUCCAGAGUUACCUCAGAAGACUUUUCUUCAUCAUCAAUUCAACAGGGUAACAAGCAAUCCUUAGAUAUCUGUGUUGAUGACUAAGAGAGCUUACAUCAUGAGGGAUGAUUCAGUCUGAAAGUUAUAAACAGAUGCAGAAACCACAGAACAUAUACACCAAAUUGUAUCAGAAAGGGAAAAAGAAGAAUGAGGAGAGCUAAAGGUCUAUAAGAAUUGCAGAACUUCUUCUUAAUCACUCACAAGAGGAAUUUCCAUGAAACUGGACAAAAUGCAUACUGAUUAAAACUGUCU